GUGGGAGAAGUAUGUGAGCACUGAUGAUGAAGAUGCCCCAACAUUUGCUACAUAUCUGAAAAAUAUGGCUGCUGACCCGUCUAUUGGGCAACACUUAAAACAGGCAGGGCCAGUUAGCAAGAUCACAGGUACAUACAGUCAGUUGUGAUAUAAUAGAAAGUUUGAUUGCAUUUGAUAUAUCUAUUAGGUAUAUAACAUUACAUCCACAUCAUAAGGUAACUGCCCUGAGGAAUAGCUAAAAUAUAGUUCUAAAAUUGUCCUUUUUUUUCUACUUUACCACAUUCCAAUUCAUUCCUUUCCAAAGUGUCUGAAAAUACCUGUUGGUGUCAGAUUUCAUAUUUGAAUUAGAGAUUUCUAGGAACUAAAGAUGUAAGAACCAUGGAAUUAUAAUGGUCAUUUUUAUCAUUUUACUGUGUUGAUUAGUAAACCCUUCAUACGGUAGCGGUCACCUACACUGUUAGCAAAUUAUUUGCUCACAAUACAGUACAAAUGUCAAAAUGUGUUUGAGUACUGCUUACAUGGGCUUUAAUUAUCGGAUUAUGUCAAGUUAAUUUGGACUUCCUUCCUUUUAUGUCAAACUUCUAUCAGCACGAUUCAGAAUGUUUUAACAUUCUAGAAUUUAGAAAGAAGAAUGUCAUUCGUUUGGCGGUCAAGUUAGGUUCUUGUCGUGUGCUAAGAAAAAAGCAUAUUAGUAGGCAGUCAAUGAUUGAUGGUUAGAAUUGAUAGGAAAAAUACCUCAGGCAUUAGCCCCUGAAGUGCUGCAGUGCUAUUAUUAAAGUCUAUGCACUAAUCAGUCAGGCCAGUUCCAUUACAAUAAAUAUCGAACACACUAU